UUCAACCCAGCACUCAUUGUUAGGUGUAUAUGAAAUUUAAAAGCCAGGUUUUGCUUAACUUUAUACUCAUUGUUGACUGAACUGUUAAUUUAUUAUCUAAUUACUGAAAAAAGGGUAGCUGAGUUUGCAGAAAUCUUUGAUUUGUAAACUUAUUCUGGAAGCUGUUUGUUGUUCUUUUCAAUUAAAAUCAUUGAAAAUGAAUUUUGAAGCUUUUUGUUGUAUUUAAUGAGGCAGCAUUGAGUAUGAUGAUAGAUAUUCCUGGUGAUGCUUCAUAUUUGAUGGAAAGUUGGACUUCAACGUGCAUUUAAAAAGGCUCAGUUAUAUGUCAGAUUAAUUUACUAUUGAAGUUGGUAUGUCUUUUGUCCAGUGUGCUAUGUUAUGCUGCACAAUAAGUUAAAAAAAGAAAUGAAAGAAAUAGAGAAAUAAAUAUUAUUGCAAUGAAGAAUGAUUUCUUUGUUCUUUCUUUUUCUCUACUUUGUAGGAAAAUAUUCGUAAACAAAAACAAUAUUAGAAUUCACAAUUUUGAUUAUUUUACAGCAGAUGAUGUCCAUCCUCUGCGGUUGAUAGCAAACAAUUUUUCAAGGAAAGCAAAAGGGAAAUACGAUUCAUUACAGAAAAACUGCUCAAGGGAAAAUCGGACCUUGGCAAGAAGGGAAGGUUACAGUAUGAUGUCUGACGAUUCAAAGAAAAAAAUCGAAUGUGAAACAUGUGGGAAAAGAUUUAACGUAAGAAGUAAAUUGGAACGGCAUAUGGUUGUUCAUACUGGGGAGAAACGAUACUUCUGUGACAUUUGCGGGAAAGGCUUCGGCUUCAGGGAAAGUCUAGGGGAACACUUAAAGCGUAUGCAUACUGAUGGGCAAAAUUUGUCGAAGCAUCGGAAAGAUAAAAUAUGUAGUAUCUGUUUUAAAAAUUUCAAAAGUACAGAAAAAUUAAAAGAGCACAUGGCUUCGCAUACUUCGGGAAAGACGUUCAAAUGCGAUCUAUGUUCGAAGAGUUUUACAUACAAGACUUGUCUGUUAAGACAUCAUCACGAGAGUCACUCGAGGAAAAUGUUUAGUUGUAAUAUUUGCGGGAAAAUGUUUGGUAUAAAGCCGUAUCUUGAUGAGCAUAUGAAAUUUGUACAUAAAUUGGUUAAAUGUGUGAAUAAUUUGGAAGAUAAUGAUGAUAACAAAGAUGAUAAAGAUGAAGGAAACAAUAGCAAUGUUGGAAGUUAUAACGAUGUAGCUAAUGAUAAUGAUGGUAAAGUUAAUGACCAGAUAAAGGAGAAAAGUGAUAUGGACCUUACAUUCAUGGAUACUGUUUUAAAUGAUGCCCAGGAAGACUCUGAUGUAAAGAAAGAACUGAAGAUGAAUGAGAUUCAUCGGUGACAAAUCAGUUUGAAGAAAGCGCAGAAUGGGAAAACGAAUCUCCCGGAUACGUGAUGAUUAACAAAGGGGACCAUAUGAACAUCUUCUGUUGUUCCAUCAAGAGCUGUAGAAAGGCAUUUGGAAGUAAACAAGGGAUGGAGAGACAUGUGUUGACGCAUACCAAGGAAAGACCGUUUCAGUGUAGAUUUUGUUCGUAUCGCAGUUCUCGGAAAGAUACUGUGAAAAAGCAUGAGUUUACACAUAGGUAGUACGGCAUAUGAUUUUUCUUGGGAAAGCAACUUUUUCGGCUUUUGAUGAAAAUUUUUCUCUGAUUUAAUAUAGAGAAAAUAUGUGCAAUUACUUUGAUUUGAGAUUGACUGUGUGUUAUAAUUGGAUUGAAAUUGAUUUGAGUGUUGUAACUAAAUGUUAAGGUUGAUUGACUUGAAUUGAGAUCAACUGUCAAGGCCUUAGUUAUGCUAACAGUGCUGUUACUUGUGAUUUUUAAUGCCAAGAAAAAAACAAAACAAGGGUUUAUUUCCAUCUGAGGUUACUUAUCAGGAUUAUUGGUAAAUUUCUAAGUGAUUUGAUGAUUGGAAUUGUGGGUACACAUUCAUGAGAUAUGUUGUUGGUAUUGACCAAUCAGAAAACAGAAUUUACCAAACCAGCCAAUCAGAAAGAAGGAUACAAGUUGGCCAAUUAGAGAGUAGUAAUUCGAAUUUUGAACAGCAGCCAUAUUUGGAAUUGUUACAUGAUGGCAUGAAAAUUCUGGUUUGUCAGUUUGAAAAUUGCGGGAAAACGUUUGCUGCCAAACAUAUGAUGGUGAGGCAUUUAAGAGUACACACCAAGGAGAAGCCGUUUAUAUGCGUGUAUUGUGGAUUUCAGUGUACACGGAAAGAUAAUCUAAGACAGCAUAUAAGGUGUAAACAUGAACAGUUUCUACUGCAAAUGAACAGUGACCAAGAGACAAAGUUAGCUUAGACAUUAAUAUUUAUGUUGAAAGUUAGGUUUGGAAAUAUCAUGUGUGUAAUACUAUGUUGAAAGCUUGGUUUUGAAACAUUAAGUGUGCAGGUUUUGAAACAUUAAGUGUGCAAUACUAUUUUAAAAGUGUGGUUGUGCAAAACAUUCAGUGUGCAAUACAUAAACAUGAACAGACUAGACAUAGUGGUAGUUCUUAAGAUGUACAUAUUAACUGAAAUUAGUCAACAUUAUUAACGUUGAAGUCGGAAUUAACUUUUAAGCAUUAAAGUGUUGAACACGUAACAUAUUUGUUUAAAUAAGGUAAAAAACAUGUGUAUUAUAUUGCAAGGUGUAAACAUUUUAUUGAAUAUAAAUGUGUAAAUGUCUUAAACGUAAAGUGUUGAGAAAUAGUUCAGGCAGCUGUGGUUGUGACAACAAACCUAGUGACAAGUGAUUAUUAUUUGUGAAGGUUGUGUAGGUUUUUGUUGAACAUUAAAUGUCAGAAAAGUUUUUCAGUAUUAUUCAAAAUGUUAUAAGAAUAUUUCCGCAUGACACUUAUUUUACGGCAGUUCUUAUCCUUUUUGCAUUGCAUAGAAAAUCUGCUAAUAACACAUUCUAUGACCAAAGUUAAAAUUAUGCCCUUAUAGCAGAUUCUUUCACCGAGGUUCAGAUUUGCUUUUAUAGAAUAGAUACUUUCACCAAGGCUCAGCAUAUGCUUUUAAAGCACAGAUACUUUCACCAAGGCUCAGAUUAUGUUUACUUUCACCAAGGCUCAGAAUAUGUUUUUACAAUACAGAUACUUUCACCAAGACUCAGAUUAUGUUUCUAUAGCACAGAUACUUUCACCAAGGCUCAGAAUAUGCUUUUAUAGAACAGAUACUUUCACCAAGGCUCAGAAUAUGUUUUUACAAUACAGAUACUUUCACCAAGGCUCAAAUUAUGCUUUUAUAGAACAGAUACUUUCACCAAGGCUCAGAAUAUGUUUUUACAAUACAGAUACUUUCACCAAGGCUCAAAUUAUGCUUUUAUAGAACAGAUACUUUCACCAAGGCUCAGAAUAUGUUUUUACAAUAUAGAUAUUUUCACCAAGGCUCAAAUUAUGCUUUUAUAGCAUAUAGUUUCACCAAGGCCCGAAAUAUGCUCAAUGAGUGUGAGAAUUUGUGUUACUUGAAAUUGUUGUGUUAUUGAUUUGAGACAAAAGCCUGAUUCAGACUAAAAAAUAUUAAACAAUUUUACAUUUUAUUAUGAAAUAUAAUGCAUGUUUUUUUUUCUCCAGGAUUUUUGGAACUUGACCCAUACCCAUGGUAUUUGGAAUUUCAGCGACAUUUUGUUAAAAAUUGUAAAAAAUGCAUGACUCAAAUAUUUAAGCACCAUAACAGUGAAGGAGUCCUUAUUUUCAAAGUUUUUAGAAUUUGUAAUUCAAGAAUUUUAUUUUGACCAUUUCAUUUGGGAAUUUUUUCCUGUGGAUUGGGAAAAUGAUACACUAUUUUCAAUUGGGAAUAUGAACGAAUAGGUGCUAUAAAAUUAUAAUAAGCCAAAAAAAAAAAAAAGCUGAUUCUAUUGUGUUUAUCUUAUUUUAUGUGCAAUUUUAUUGUAUUUACAUUGACAUUGCAACAUGUUUGAAAGGUCUAAAAAUAAAUUAACUUUAACUUUCUACAUGCAUCAGGGUCAGGAGAAAUGGAAAUGUACAAACGCAGUAAAGACCAUCCUUAUGUUUGACCUAACACAGGGUAGUUGAUGAAGACAAUGUGUAGGGACACAUACUUAGCUUAUUUCUUCACUUGAAAAUGACUGUAUUUUCACCAGGAAACGUAUAUGUAUACAAUAGUUUGUUUGUUUGUUUAAUUGGGUUUUAUGUCCCACCGACACAGUGCAGGUCAUAUGGUGACGUUCCAGCUUUACUGGUGGAGGAAGACCUCAGAUGCAUUUCCGUGCAUUAUUUCAGGCAUGAAAGGCCACCUUAGUAGAACCACCAAUGUUCCAUAUACAAUAAUAAUUAAUGAUAGUAAAUAAGUAAUGUAGGUACUUCACUAGAUUAUGUUUACAUUUUAUUAUGUUAUAAUUUUCAGGAACUCUGGUAGAUUCUGAAGCCACGCCCACAUAUAUUUCACCCAAUCAGAGUGAAGAUGCUCUCGACUCGUACAUUGAUAUGAAUAAUAGUGCAGUAUACGUGUGUUCCCAUGGAAACUGCGGAAAAAGAUUUAAAACGAAGUAUAUGAUUUCGCGUCAUAUGAAAAUACACUGGAAGGAGAAACCGUUUGCCUGCAGAUUUUGUGAUUACAAGUGUGCAAGAAAAGAUUAUCUUAGAGUGCAUGAAAGUAAUAGGCAUGGAUCUCAUUUUAUUUGGACGGGAUGAUGAAUUUGAACAUACGAUUCUGGUGUUGGAUACAUUGGCACGGAAAAAAAACUGCGUCAAGAAUUGUGCUAAAUUGGAUCAGUUAUAGCAUAAUCAUUUGGAAUAUAACAAAGGGUUUGUCAUAUGUUUAAGUGAAUUAGUGCAACAAGACUGGUUUCACAGAGUGACAUUCUUGGGCUAUUUUUAGAUACAACCAUUGUGUCAACAGAUUGGUUAUACUUUGGUGAAUAGUAGCUUUUGGAAAAGCGUUCAGGAAUUUAAAUUUGAACUGUUUGCUUGCAUAUCUAUAGUAGUUCAACAGCUGUUGUCAAGUGCAUUUUAAAAUGAUACAUAUUUAUUCAAUGCUGUUGUGAAGUGUUUUUUUCUAUUCAUUCUAUGGAUGUUUCAUUGAUUAAUUAAUAACAAAAUGAAAGUGAUGUGUGAAAGUGCAGUGAGAUUCAACCCAUUCAUACGUUAACAUUAACAGUGUCUUUUGUUUCUGUGCCGGCCCUCAACUUUGCUAAAGAGUUUGAGCAUUGGAGGUUACUGGUUGGAUCUCUGGGGUGCAAUGCAUAAAAACUCUGUGAAAAUAGAGAGAAAAUAAACUCCGGAAUAAAGAAUAUUUGGGUUUUUCCCAGCUUAUCUGUAGACACAAACCUUUACAGAUACAGCUUCAAAAAUGAGCAAAGCAGGUUGCCUAAUCUAUUGCGACACUCUGAUAAUGCAGCUAUAACGGUAAAAGUUUAUUUGUACGGAAGAGCUGGGAUUAACCCAUAUUUGCAUAUCUGAGUUCCGGAUAACGUCUAUUGAUCUUUUGCAUUACUCAAAUGAUCAUUUGUCUCUCUUGACUGAUUCAGAAAUUAUAUGGGAUUUAAGACUAGUCGGUUAAUUUUGCAAAGAAAUUUGUAGAAACUGGUUUGAUAUCCAGGAAAGCCUGUUUGGUGAAUCAACCAUUGAGAUAUUAAAAUUGUCUUGCUUAUUUGAUUCUGGUAUUUUAUGACGUUAAAUGCAAUGAAGUAAAAUUUUCAUAUUGUUCAAUAUGUAUUGUGACCUAUUUAUUUUUUAUGAUAAUGUUUUAUUCCCUGAUUUCUAGGUGUUAAUUGUUUUGUUAAAAUGCUUUGAUUAAAAAAUGAAUAAGAUAAUUCUGAAAGUUAUCUUUUUGUUUUGAUCUUGUCUUUUUACAACGCAUGCAGCUUUUCGGAAAAUGAAUGUUUUGUUAUAUUAUAUUAUUUAUAAACAUUUUAAGGCUUUCAAUUAUCUAAAAAGACUGUGUAAAUUAUAAUUUCAGUGAGUAUAGGGGUGAAAAUUAUAAGAUUAAAUGAUUGUAGGCCUUGGAAAUGUUGAAAGCAAAAGCUAGAUAUUACUCACUAUCUGAGGGCCCACAGUUCACGAUUUUUAUAUGCCAAAAGCAAAUACAUGUAUUGUCUGAAAUUUCAACUACAAGGGCAAAGGACGUGAAAAUUCUCGCUCCUUAGGUAUAGGUACUGUUUCCUCCAAAACAGCAUACUUUCUGUCAAGAAAUUGUUGAUGGUUGACAAAUUUUGACCAUUCAGUUUACAUCACUGUUAAUUGGGUUCCCAGAUGGUGUACAUUUCAUGUGCGCCUUAAUUCUUGCAUUAUGCUGGUAUAAAAAUGCUUGUUCCAAUUUAUAGCUCUUAACUGCAUGACAUUACUGUAUGGAAAACCAUAUAGUGGACAUCCUUCUUUACCAGUUGUGAAGCAGAAAUGCUCGUGAUUAUUGUUAGCUAUACAUGAUUGACACCUACAAAAAUGUUACAUUGGUUGGACGUAUAUGGAUCCUUCUUUAACAGUUGUAAAGCACAAAUGCUUGUGAUUAUUUUUAGCUACACCAGAUUGACACCUACAAAACUGUAACGCUGGACAUGCAAUUUGACCCAUGUAUAAUUCCAUGGUCCUGCAGAAAUAAUAAAAAUUGUGCAUGUGAUGUGUACAUUUCAUAGAAUGAUGUUUCGGCAUAGAUAAAAACAAAUAAAAAUUCAGGAAUUCUCUUAUCUUUUCAGAUUUACCAGUAUUUCCUGUUCUUCUGACUUGUUACCCUCAUGCAAUUGACAAGAAUAUUACAACCAGUCUGGCAAUUACUCCAAAUGUAAAACCAGCCGAGCCAAAAAAUGUACCAAUCGGCACACCGAACAGUUAUGGUUAUACAUGCAUACGUGUUGAUGGAC